AGGGUAAGUCUUACACGACCAGCUCCCGCUGAAUCCCCCAGGACCGGAAGGUAGCAAGGGUAGGUGGUUGUAGCGGUGCGAUGUAAGUAGCUUACCCU
rnacentral:SRP_RNA from 1 species